UAGAUUUUCUGCAAAGUCAAACUUUAUAAAGUUUGACCAAGUUUAUAGAGAAAACUAUUUAUAUCUACAAUACCAAAUGUACAUAAUAUGAAAGUAUGUCUUGUGAUGUAUCUAAGCACACGUGUUUGGUAUUCUAGAUGUAUAUGAUUUUCUCUACAAACUUGGUCAAAGUUUAUAAAGUUUGACUUUUAGAAAAAUCUA
rfam:Triticum aestivum genome assembly, contig: Triticum_aestivum_CS42_TGACv1_scaffold_592671_7BS